UACGUAGGGGGCAAGCGUUAAUCGGAAUUACUGGGCGUAAAGCGUGCGCAGGCGGUUAUGCAAGAGAGAGGUGAAAUCCCCGGGCUCAACCUGGGAACUGCCUUUGUGACUGCAUAGCGGGAGUACGGCAGAGGGGGAUGGAAUUCCGCGUGUAGCAGUGAAAUGCGUAGAUAUGCGGAGGAACACCGAUGGCGAAGGCAAUCCCCUGGGCCUGUACUGACGCUCAUGCACGAAAGCGUGGGGAGCAAACAGG
rnacentral:rRNA from 1 species